AUAGCCGCCGGGGGCUACUCUAACGGGACCCCCUGGCCGCCGCGCGGUGCCGCCCCAGCCCCGGCCUCCGUCGCUCCGGGCCCCAGGGCCGCCCGGCCGGCGAGGGCGGCGAUGCGGGCGGAUUCCCCCCGGCUGCCCGGCGGCGGCGGCACUUCAGCUCCCAGCGGCGGCGGCGGCCAUGUUGGCCCUGAUCACGUGAUCCGCCGCCGCGCGCUAAGGGUGAAAGUUCACGAUGGGGGUGGGGGCGGCCGGACCGGGACCAGGAAACCGCGGCUUGUACUCCUGUAGCUAGCAGCUGGGGCCGUCCCUGGGUACCUCCCACCGCCGGUAAAGCCUACCCAACCCGGAUUUAGCGGCUACAAGGUCCUUCCACCGGCCUCCUCUCAGUGCCGGGCUUCUUAAGCCCCACACACCAGCCCCGGCUCCCGCAUCCGCCUCUCGCGCGGCUGUCUUGGGGUAGCGGCGCCGAGGUGGGCGCUUUGUCGGAAUUCCCAAUUGUCCUUGGGCAAUCUCACCGCAUGCUCCUAACAGUCGCCCCCACCCUCAGCCUUUGGCCCAUGCCCUGUAAUAACUUGAGGAUUCCCAACAUGCCAGCUACGUGCUGGACAUCCUCUGGAGCUCCCAAAGGUACAGAAGUGAGGCAUCUACUGUAUACCACUGCACUUAACCCCACCCCAACUGGGAUUUGAGUGUUAUCUGAGUUGGACCAGAAACCCAUGAUUGGCGCCUCUGCUGAGUGUGGGACAGGAAGAGUUAACAUGCUGACAGACGGCAUUUUUUACCUUCAGUCAAUAUGAACAAGGCCCCAAGACUAUGAUUCCAAACAUCUGGAUUUCAUCAAUAUGUGAUCUGUCAUCGUAUAUUGGCAUUCCCCAGUCCCCGCGCCAGAGCAAUGCGGCUGGUUUUAUUAAUACGUCAAAUACAUUAUCCGUGUAAUACACUUGUCUGGCUGGGGCCUCCCGCUGGGGCGGGGCGGCGGAUUUGAAUGUAUGAUGAAUCAGUUUGCAUUACAUGUUCGUAAGUCAUCAUUU